GCGUCCUAUUAGCUAGAUGGUAAGGUAACGGCUUACCAUGGCUACGAUAGGUAGGGGUCCUGAGAGGGAGAUCCCCCACACUGGUACUGAGACACGGACCAGACUCCUACGGGAGGCAGCAGUGAGGAAUAUUGGACAAUGGGCGCAAGCCUGAUCCAGCCAUGCCGCGUGCAGGAAGACGGCCCUAUGGGUUGUAAACUGCUUUUGUACGGGAAGAAACCUACCCUUCGUGAGGGUAACUGACGGUACCGUAA
rnacentral:rRNA from 1 species